CCUCUUCCUUGCGUCGCUCUGCGCUGCUUCCUCCCGCCCAGUCGCAUAUUCAGAUCAGCUCUCCCACCUACUCCUGGUUAGUCCUCGGGGAUUGCGGCUGAUAGGCCUGUCUUUAUUUAGCUUCUUUACCCAGUGAUGUCUCAGAGCAGCAGACUCAUCAGCAGCAUUACCUUCAGUGUCGCACGGGUUACCUCCAGUAGAAACAAGUUUAAGAAACCGAGUGCAGGCCUGAAUACGGCCCAACUCGCGAGCAUAAUUUCUAAAGUGGUCAAUUGGAAUUGACGAGGAGCACAUGGAUAUUGUAGAGGUUAAAUGAGGUAAGUUUGCAGUUUGGAAUUCAAUCAUCCAGCUGAAUGUUAGAUAAAACUGGAAUUGGUUUGCAACAGGAGGAAAAGCUGUAUGAGG